GGAGAUAUAGCUUAGUUGGCAAAGUGCUUGCCUAGUACGUAUAAGGCCCUAGGUUCAAUCUCUAGCACCACCA
rnacentral:tRNA from 1 species